UGAGUAACCUGCCCUUAACUCUGGGAUAAGCCUGGGAAACUGGGUCUAAUACCGGAUAUGACUCCUCAUCGCAUGGGUGGGGGGGUGGAUAGCUUUAUUGUGGUUUUGGAUGGACUCGCGGCCUAUCAGCUUGUUGGUGAGGUAAUGGCUCACCAAGGCGACGACGGGUAGCCGGCCUGAGAGGGUGACCGGCCACACUGGGACUGAGACACGGCCCAGACCUCCGUACGGGGAGGCAG
rnacentral:rRNA from 1 species